GAAGAUGAGACUGUUGGGUCUUCUGUACCUGGCGACAUCCUUUCCUGAAAUUCUGUCCCAGAUCCAGCUUCAGGAGUCAGGACCUAGUCUGGUGAAGACCUCACAGUCAAUCUUCCUCACCUGCUCUGUUACUGGUUACUCCAUCACCAGUGGUUACUACUGGAUCUGGAUCAGGCAGUCCCCAGGGAAGAAGCUGGAGUGGAUGGGUUACAUUACCCACAGUGGAGAAGCUGCCUACAACCCAUCCAUAAGGAGCCCCAUCUCCAUCACGAGAGAAACAUCCAAGAACCAGUUCUUCCUGCAGCUGAACUCUGUGACCACUGAGGACACAGCCACUUAUUACUGUGCAGGAGACACACAGUGA